rnacentral:rRNA from 1 species
UACGUAGGGUGCAAGCGUUGUCCGGAAUUAUUGGGCGUAAAGAGCUCGUAGGCGGUCUGUCGCGUCGGCUGUGAAAACCCGAGGCUCAACCUCGGGCCUGCAGUCGAUACGGGCAAACUAGAGUACUGCAGGGGAGACUGGAAUUCCUGGUGUAGCGGUGAAAUGCGUAGAUAUCGUAAGGAAGACCAGUGGCGAAGGCGGGUCUCUGGACAGUU